rnacentral:rRNA from 1 species
UACACUCUACGGGGGGCAGCAGUGGGGGAUAUUGCACAAUGGGGGAAACCCUGAUGCAGCGACGCCGCGUGGGCGAAGAAGCGCCUCGGCGCGUAAAGCCCUGUCAGCAGGGAAGAAAAUGACGGUACCUGAAGAAGAAGCCCCGGCUAACUACGUGCCAGCAGCCGCGGUAAUACGUAGGGGGCAAGCGUUAUCCGGAUUUACUGGGUGUAAAGGGGGCGCAGACGGCGAUGCAGGCCAGGAGUGAAAGCCCGGGGCCCAACCCCGGGACUGCUCUUGGAACUGCGUGGCUAGAGUGCAGGAGG